rnacentral:rRNA from 1 species
CCUACGGGAGGCAGCAGUGAGGAAUAUUGGUCAAUGGGCGGGAGCCUGAACCAGCCAAGCCGCGUGAAGGACGAAGGUGCCAAGCAUUGUAAACUUCUUUUGUCAAGGGACAAAAUCAGGCUCGAGAGCCUGACCGAGGGUACUUGAAGAAAAAGCAUCGGCUAACUCCGUGCCAGCAGCCGCGGUAAUACGGAGGAUGCGAGCGUUAUCCGGAUUUAUUGGGUUUAAAGGGUGCGUAGGCGGGCUGUUAAGUCAGCGGUAAAAGCCCGGGGCUCAACCCCGGCGAGCCGUUGAACCUGGCUGUCUUGAGAUGUCGAGAGGUAUGCGGAAUGCGCAGUGUAGCGGUGAAAUGCUUAGAUAUUGCGCAGAACUCCGAUUGCGAAGGCAGCAUACCGGCGGCGAUCUGACGCUGAGGCACGAAAGCGUGGGUAUCGAACAGGAUUAGAUACCCGUGUAGUC